rnacentral:rRNA from 1 species
AGAUUGAGAGCUCUUUCUUGAUUCGGUGGGUGGUGGUGCAUGGCCGUUCUUAGUUGGUGGAGCGAUUUGUCUGGUUAAUUCCGAUAACGAACGAGACUCUAGCCUACUAAAUAGACGUACUUUAUUACCGGCAUCUCAAGGCCCAUCGGCUGUAUUGUUACUGAAUGUUAUUUGUAUAUUUUGUUGAUAAUUAUAUAUUUAUAAUAUGUAUGAUUGAUAAUAUAUAUUUUUAUUUGUAAUUUCUAUUUUUUAAAUAGUGUAUAUUUAU